UACGUAGGCAGCAAGCGUUGUUCGGAGUUACUGGGCGUAAAGGGUGUGUAGGUGGCCUGUUAAGUUCCGUGUGAAAUCUCCCGGCUCAACCGGGAGGGUGCGCGGAAAACUGGCGGGCUAGAGUACGAAAGAGGAUCGCGGAAUUCCCGGUGUAGAGGUGAAAUUCGUAGAUAUCGGGAGGAACACCGGUGGCGAAGGCGGCGAUCUGGGUCGAUACUGACGCUGAGGUGCGAAAGCGUGGGGAGCAAACAGG
rnacentral:rRNA from 1 species